rnacentral:rRNA from 1 species
GACGAACGCUGGCGGCGUGCCUAACACAUGCAAGUCGAGCGGACUUUCCGGUGUUCGUGCACUCCGGAGGGUGACGGGCGGGCGAGUGAGUAAUACGUAGGCAACCUGCCCAUGAGACCGGGAUGACAUUCGGAAAAGUAUUCUAAUACCCGAUAUACGGACGUCUGGCGGGGGGGGAGCGGGAAAGGCGGAGCAAGCUGCCGCUUCUGGAUGGGCCUGCGGCGCAUUAGCUAGUUGGUGGGGUAACGGCCUACCAAGGCGACGAUGGGUAGCCGACCUGAGAGGGUGAUCGGCCACACUGGGACUGAGACACGGCCCAGACUCCUACGGGAGGCAGCAGUAGGGAAUCUUGGGCAAUGGACGAAAGUCUGACCGAGCAACGCCGCGUGAGUGAAGAAGGCCUUCGGGUCGUAAAGCUCUGUUGCCCGGGAAGAACGCGUUGGCCAGUAACUGCCCUUGUGAUGACGGUACCUGAAGAAAAAGCACCGGCUAACUACGUG